ACGUAAGGGGCGAGCGUUGUUCGGAAUUAUUGGGCGUAAAGGGCGCGUAGGCGGUAGUGCAAGCCCGGCGUGAAAGGCCGAAGCUUAACUUUGGUAUGGCGCUGGGAACUGCGGUACUUGAGUCACAGAAGGGGGGUUGGAAUUCCAGGUGUAGGGGUGAAAUCUGUAGAUAUCUGGAAGAACACCAAUGGCGGAGGCAAACUUCUGGCUGAUGACUGACGCUGAGGCGCGAAAGUGCGGGGAGCGAACAG
rnacentral:rRNA from 1 species